rnacentral:hammerhead_ribozyme from 1 species
AUCAAGCUGACGAGUCCCAAAUAGGACGAAACGCGCGUCAAACUAGAU